UGAGUGAAGAAGGGUUUCGGCUCGUAAAACUCUGUUGUUAAAGAAGAACAUAUCUGAGAGUAACUGUUCAGGUAUUGACGGUAUUUAACCAGAAAGCCACGGCUAACUACGUGCCAGCAGCCGCGGUAAUACGUAGGUGGCAAGCGUUGUCCGGAUUUAUUGGGCGUAAAGCGAGCGCAGGCGGUUUUUUAAGUCUGAUGUGAAAGCCUUCGGCUUAACCGAAGAAGUGCAUCGGAAACUGGGAAACUUGAGUGUAGAAGAGGACAGUGGAACUCCAUGUGUAGCGGUGAAAUGCGUAGAUAUAUGGAAGAACACCAGUGGCGAAGGCGGCUGUCUGGUCUGUAACUGACGCUGAGGCUCGAAAGUAUGGGUAGCAAACAGGAUUAGAUACCCUGGUAGUCCAUACCGUAAACGAUGAAUGCUAAGUGUUGGAGGGGUUUCCGCCCUUCAGUUGCCUGC
rnacentral:rRNA from 2 species